rnacentral:rRNA from 1 species
AUCGUCGUCCCCCCAUCCUCUCGAGGAUAUGGGAUGGAAGCUGAUCUCUCAUGUGUUACCGCACGUGUUGGCCAAAAUCCGAGCUAAGGAUGCCAGGAGCGUCUUGACAAGCGGUGGUGAAUUCAAUUCUCGUCAUAUAGUCAGACGUUCCGGUCCAAAACCUCUUGAUGACCCAAAGUCCUCAACGCGACCCCAGGUCAGGCGGGAUCACCUGCUGAGUUUAAGCAUAACAAUAAGUAGAGGAAAAGAAACUAACAAGUAUUCCCUUAGUAACGGAGAGCGAACCGGGAAGAGCCCAGCUUGAAAAUGGACGUCUUUGAUGUUUGAAUUGUAGUCUGGAGAAGGGUCCUCAGUGAUGGACCGGGCCCAAGUUCCCUGGAAAGGGGCGCCAGAGAGGGUGAGAGCCCUGUCGUGCCCGGACCCUGUCGCACCACGAGGCGCUGUCUACGAGUCGGGUUGUUUGGGAAUGCAGCCCAAAUCGGGCGGUAAAUUUCGUCCAAGGCUAUAUAUGGGCGAGAGACGGAUAGCGAACAAGUACCGCGAGGUAAAGAUGAAAAGGACUUUGAAAAGUGAGUCAAAGAGUGCUUGAAAUUGUCGGGAGGGAAGCGGAUGGGGGCUGGCGAUUCAUCCCGGUUGGAUGCGGAACGGAGCAAUCCUGUACGCCGAUCGAUUCGGGCCGUGGACCGACACGGAUUAAGGUGGUGACCUAAGACCGGGCUUUUGUUACGCCCGCGGAGACGUUGCUGCCUUUAUUGUGGUCUGCAGCACGCGCCUCACGGCGUGCCUCGGCAUCUGCAUGCUCAGGGCGUCGGCCUGCGGGCUCCCCAUUCGACCCAUCUUGAAACACGGACCAAGGAGUCUGACAUAUGUGCGAGUCAACGGGUGAGUAAACCUUUAAGGCGCAAGGAAGCUGAUUGGCGGGAUCCCUCACGGGUGCACAGCCAUACGACCUUGAUCUUCUGAGAAGGGUUCGAGUGUGAGCAUGCCUGUCGCGACCCAAAAGAUGGUGAACUAUGCCUGAGCGGGGCAAAGCCAGAGGAAACUCUGGUGGAGGCCCGCAGCAAUACUGACGUGCAAAUAGUUCGUCUGACUUGGGUAUAGGGGCGAAAGACUAAUCGAACCAUCUAGUAGCUGGUUCCCUCAGAAGUUUCCCUCAGGAUAGCUGGAGCUCGGAAACGAGUUCUAUCGAGUAAAGCCAAUGAUUAGAGGCAUCGGGGAUGCAAUGUCCUCGACCUAUUCUCAAACUUUAAAUAGGUAGGACGGGGUGCCUGCUCUGUUGAGCCAUCCCACGGAAUCGAGAGCUGUAAGUGGGCCAUUUUUGGUAAGCAGAACUGGCGAUGCGGGAUGAACUGGAAGCCGGGUUACGGUGCCCAACUGCACGCUAACCUAGAACCCACAAAGGGUGUUGGUCGAUUAAGACAACAGGACGGUGGUCAUUGAAGUUGAAAUCCGCUAAGGAGUGUGUAAUAACUCACAUGCCGAAUCAACUAGCCCCGAAAAUGGAUGGCGCUGAAGCGUACGACCUAUACCCGGCCAUCUGGGCAAGAGCCAGGCCUCGAUGAGUAGGAGGGCGCGGCAGUCGCUGCAAAACCUAGGGCGCGAGCCCGGGCGGAGCGGCCGUCGGUGCAGAUCUUGGUGGUAGUAGCAAAUAUUCAAAUGAGAACUUUGAAGACCGAAGAGGGGAAAGGUUCCAUGUGAAUGGCACUUGCACAUGGGUUAGUUGAUCCUAAGAGUCAGAGGAAACCCGUCUGAUAGCGCUUAUGUGCGAAUUUUUAAAGGGGAUCCGGUUAAAAUUCCAGAACCGGGACGUGGCAGUUGACAGCAAUGUUAGGAAGUCCGGAGACGUCGGCGGGAAUUCCGGAAAGAGUUAUCUUUUCUGUUUAACAGCUUGCCACCCUUGAAACGGCUAAGCCGGAGGUAGGGUCCAGCGGCUGGAAGAGCACCGCACGUCGCGUGGUGUCGGGUGAAUUCCCGGUGGCCCUUGAAAAUCUGGAGGACCGAGUGCCGCUCACGCCCGGUCGUACUCAUAACCGCAUCAGGUCUUGCAACACCCCGAUCCGGCAGACUAAGCCGUGAUCGAAGUCUUACGUCGCUCGGUCUACUUCUUGGCCGAACCUCUUCAUUUUUGCCCUUUAUUUAUAAUAUUGCCUAAAGGCGACGGCUAACUUAUAUCUUAGCUAAAGACUUUCCUAGUCAUUAAUAGCUUAGAUCCUUUCAACAGAUAUGCAGCGGAUUAUUCUCUUGUUAACCAUUGGUCUAAAACCAAUUUAACACUUUUCUGGUUGAAUCACCUUAGCCUUGGUCAGUUUACUCAACUACCAAUUAGCUUAAAGGUCAAUCCUAAACCCAAACCAGUCCAUACGAUUCUGAGGUUCCAUUCCCCUAAACCAUUCUAUCUAAAUCUACAUAAUUAAAAGCUCGAUCAUACCUUUGUCACAUCUAUAGAGCUUAUUAGCUCAUCGGUUCUCCAUUGACUCAAAUUGCUCUUUCUUUAAAGCUGGACCCCAAUCACUCAAUGAUCUUACUUAAGAUCCUUAUCGUGACUCCUGCAUCAAACAACUCCCCUAGGUACUUAGUCAAUCAACCAACCAUCCCCACAGACAUAAGUAACCUUUGAGAUGUCUUUUAAAGGAUAAGGUUUGCAUCUGGCCUUUCUCGGCUCAUGCACAAUCCGAAAUCCUUUUGCCUUAUAGGCGAUUGUACCAAGUCCAUCUUCUGGACUGACAAAGCUCAUUAAAUCCUAAGUCAAUCAACCAACCUUCCUCACAUGACUUGGAACUGAUGAGUCAUCAUAUGGCCUGAUCGGCCUUGGGACUUAACCCAGACAACAUAUAUGA